GAGUUUGAUCCUGGCUCAGGAUGAACGCUAGCGGCAGGCUUAACACAUGCAAGUCGAACGGUAACAGCAGAGCUUGCUCUGGCUGACGAGUGGCGCACGGGUGCGUAACGCGUAUACAAUCUACCUAUUACUGGAGUAUAGCCCGAAGAAAUUUGGAUUAAUCCUCCGUAGUAUUAUUGAAUGGCAUCAUUUUAUAAUUAAAACUACGGUGGUAAUAGAUGAGUAUGCGUCCUAUUAGUUUGUUGGUAAGGUAACGGCUUACCAAAACAUCGAUAGGUAGGGGUCCUGAGAGGGAGAUCCCCCACACUGGUACUGAGACACGGACCAGACUCCUACGGGAGGCAGCAGUGAGGAAUAUUGGACAAUGGAGGCAACUCUGAUCCAGCCAUGCCGCGUGCAGGAAGACUGCCCUAUGGGUUGUAAACUGCUUUUAUAGAGGAAGAAACCUCCCUACGUGUAGGGAGCUGACGGUACUCUACGAAUAAGGAUCGGCUAACUCCGUGCCAGCAGCCGCGGUAAUACGGAGGAUCCAAGCGUUAUCCGGAAUCAUUGGGUUUAAAGGGUCCGUAGGCGGGCAGUUAAGUCAGUGGUGAAAGUCUUCCGCUCAACGGGAGAAUUGCCAUUGAUACUGAUUGUCUUGAGUCAUUAUGAAGUGGUUAGAAUGAGUAGUGUAGCGGUGAAAUGCAUAGAUAUUACUCAGAAUACCGAUUGCGAAGGCAGAUCACUAAUAAUGUACUGACGCUGAUGGACGAAAGCGUAGGUAGCGAACAGGAUUAGAUACCCUGGUAGUCUACGCCGUAAACGAUGGUUACUAGCUGUUUGGACGAUUGAGUCUGAGUGGCUAAGCGAAAGUGAUAAGUAACCCACCUGGGGAGUACGUUCGCAAGAAUGAAACUCAAAGGAAUUGACGGGGGCCCGCACAAGCGGUGGAGCAUGUGGUUUAAUUCGAUGAUACGCGAGGAACCUUACCAGGGCUUAAAUGCAGUCUGACGUAUCUGGAAACAGAUAUUUCUUCGGACAGAUUGCAAGGUGCUGCAUGGUUGUCGUCAGCUCGUGCCGUGAGGUGUCAGGUUAAGUCCUAUAACGAGCGCAACCCCUGUGGUUAGUUGCCAGCGAGUAAUGUCG
rnacentral:rRNA from 1 species